rnacentral:rRNA from 1 species
UACAACAUAUCAUUUAUGCAGUCGAUCCCAUUAGAAAUCCACAGCUAAGCAUGCUCAGGAUAGAGUAGUACUGGGAUUGGUGAUCACCUGGGAAUUCCUAGUGUUUUAC